CGUAGGGGGCUAGCGUUGUCCGGAUUUAUUGGGCGUAAAGAGCGCGUAGGCGGCUAGGUAAGUCCGACGUGAAAUCUGGAGGCUCAACCUCCAGCGGUCGUUGGAAACUACUUGGCUAGAGUCCGGAAGAGGAGAGUGGAAUUCCUGAUGUAGCGGUGAAAUGCGCAGAUAUCAGGAAGAACACCGAUGGCGAAAGCAGCUCUCUGGGACGGUACUGACGCUGAGGCGCGAAAGCGUGGGGAGCGAACAGGAUUAGAUACCCUGGUAGUCCACGCCGUAAACGAUGGGUGCUAGGUGUGAGCGGUGUCGACUCCGCUCGUGCCGAAGCUAACGCAUUAAGCACCCCGCCUGGGGAGUACGGCCGCAAGGCUA
rnacentral:rRNA from 1 species